rnacentral:rRNA from 1 species
UACGGGAGGCAGCAGUGGGGAAGUAAUUGCACAAUGGGCGCAAGCCUGAUGCAGCCAUGCCGCGUGUAUGAAGAAGGCCUUCGGGUUGUAAAGUACUUUCAGUCGUGAGGAAGGUGUUAAGGUUAAUAACCUUAGCAAUUGACGUUAGCGACAGAAGAAGCACCGGCUAACUCCGUGCCAGCAGCCGCGGUAAUACGGAGGGCGCGAGCGUUAAUCGGAAUUACUGGGCGUAAAGGGCACGCAGGCGGUUAAUUAAGUUGGAUGUGAAAUCCCCGGGCUUAACCUGGGAAUGGCAUUCAAGACUGGUUAGCUAGAGUCUUGUAGAGGGGGUAGAAUUCCAUGUGUAGCGGUGAAAUGCGUAGAGAUGUGGAGGAAUACCGGUGGCGAAGGCGGCCCCCUGGACAAAGACUGACGCUCAUGUGCGAAAGCGUGGGGAGCAAACAGGGAUUAGAUACC